rnacentral:rRNA from 1 species
CAGCCGCCGCGGUAAUACGGAGGAUCCAAGCGUUAUCCGGAAUCAUUGGGUUUAAAGGGUCCGUAGGCGGUCUUGUAAGUCAGUGGUGAAAGCCCAUCGCUCAACGGUGGAACGGCCAUUGAUACUGCAGGACUUGAAUUAUUGGGAAGUAACUAGAAUAUGUAGUGUAGCGGUGAAAUGCUUAGAGAUUACAUGGAAUACCAAUUGCGAAGGCAGGUUACUACCAAUUGAUUGACGCUGAUGGACGAAAGCGUGGGUAGCGAACAGGAUUAGAUACCCCAGUAGUCCCUGUCUCUUAUAC